rnacentral:rRNA from 1 species
CGGUCCAAACUCCUACGGGAGGCAGCAGUGGGGAAUAUUGCACAAUGGGCGAAAGCCUGAUGCAGCAACGCCGCGUGAGUGAUGAAGGCCUUCGGGUCGUAAAACUCUGUCCUCAAGGAAGAUAAUGACGGUACUUGAGGAGGAAGCACCGGCUAACUACGUGCCAGCAGCCGCGGUAAUACGUAGGGGGCUAGCGUUAUCCGGAUUUACUGGGCGUAAAGGGUGCGUAGGCGGUCUUUCAAGUCAGGAGUGAAAGGCUACGGCUCAACCGUAGUAAGCUCUUGAAACUGGAG